UGGGGAAUAUUGCACAAUGGGCGCAAGCCUGAUGCAGCCAUGCCGCGUGUAUGAAGAAGGCCUUCGGGUUGUAAAGUACUUUCAGCGGGGAGGAAGGUGUUGAGGCUAAUAACCUCAGCAAUUGACGUUACCCGCAGAAGAAGCACCGGCUAACUCCGUGCCAGCAGCCGCGGUAAUACGGAGGGUGCAAGCGUUAAUCGGAAUUACUGGGCGUAAAGCGCACGCAGGCGGUCUGUCAAGUCGGAUGUGAAAUCCCCGGGCUCAACCUGGGAACUGCAUUCGAAACUGGCAGGCUAGAGUCUUGUAGAGGGGGGUAGAAUUCCAGGUGUAGCGGUGAAAUGCGUAGAGAUCUGGAGGAAUACCGGUGGCGAAGGCGGCCCCCUGGACAAAGUCUGACGCUCAGGUGCGAAAGCGUGGGGAGCAAACA
rnacentral:rRNA from 1 species